GCCAGGCACAGUGGCGCAUGUCUGUAAUCCCACAGGCUUGGGAGGCUGAGACAGGAGGAUCAAGAGUUUAAAGCCUUAGCAAGAGAGAGAUGCUAAGCAACUCAGUGAGACCCUAUCUCUA
rnacentral:sRNA from 1 species